rnacentral:rRNA from 1 species
CCCUUAGAUGUUCUGGGCCGCACGCGCGCUACACUGACGAAUGCAACGAGCUUAUAACCUUGGCCGAAAGGUCUGGGUAAUCUCCAAAUUUCGUCGUGAUGGGGAUAGAUUAUUGCAAUUAUUAAUCUUCAACGAGGAAUGCCUAGUAAGCGCAAGUCAUCAGCUUGCGUUGAUUACGUCCCUGCCCUUUGUACACACCGCCCGUCGCUCCUACCGAUUGAAUGGUCCGGUGAAGCGUUCGGACCGUGGCCUUUGGACGGUUCGCCGUCUGUUGGCUGCGGGAAGUUCGUUCAACCUUAUCAUUUAGAGGAAGGAGAAGUCGUAACA